GUUGAUGUUCAAUGUUUGAUAGUAUCAUAAUGGACAAAGAAUGGCUGCAACUAUCAAGGUUACUGUCUGAAACAAAAUCUUAUAAAUCUAGUUUCAAAAUUUAACAAUAAUAUAAAAUGAUCAUACAAUUGUUGUUGUAGAUUUUCAGAACAAUACAGAGAUGGAGCACGGAAGUUUGUAGAACUAGCUUGUGAAACUCUAAAUUCAGAAAUGAUAGGAUGCCCUUGUAUCAAGUGUAGGAAUCUAAAGCAUCACAACUAUGAAAUAGUAUAUGAACAUUUGAUUAUUAAGGGUAUGGAUCCUACGUACACUGAUUGGGUAUUUCAUGGAGAAAAACCAAGUAAAUCAAAUUUGGUCGAUGUAGAAAUGCCUGAGUCAUGUAGGAUGUUUAGGGACUUCUAUACGCAACAUGACGUAGAUU
rnacentral:lncRNA from 1 species